rnacentral:rRNA from 1 species
CAAUAGCGUAUAUUAAAGUUGUUGCGGUUAAAAAGCUCGUAGUUGGAUUUCUGCCGAGGACGACCGGUCCGCCCUCUGGGUGAGUAUCUGGCUCGGCCUGGGCAUCUUCUUGGAGAACGUAGCUGCACUUGACUGUGUGGUGCGGUAUCCAGGACUUUUACUUUGAGGAAAUUAGAGUGUUUCAAGCAGGCUUACGCCUUGAAUACAUUAGCAUGGAAUAAUAAGAUAGGACCUCGGUUCUAUUUUGUUGGUUUCUAGAGCUGAGGUAAUGAUUAAUAGGGAUAGUUGGGGGCAUUCGUAUUUAACUGUCAGAGGUGAAAUUCUUGGAUUUGUUAAAGACGGACGACUGCGAAAGCAUUUGCCAAGGAUGUUUUCAUUGA